rnacentral:lncRNA from 1 species
GUUGUGGAGGUCGAGACUCUCCAAGAAAAAUUCUUGCUGCUGAUCCUGUUGCUGCGGAUCUUCGAGGAGACCUAUUCGCUGGCGGGAGGUACUGCUGCCUCGUUGGCCUUGCCUACACAGGCUGGCGAAAUGCCCGAACUUGCCACAGUGGUAACAGUUGCAACCGUAGGCAGGGCAUUCGCGUGGUCUGUGCGUUGUUCCACAGCGUGAACACUUUUGUUGCAGCUUCAGCUGUGGUUUCUGUUGCCGGUUCCCCAUUGUUGCUGGUUUUUGUGAGUUCCAUUGUUUCGGCUUCUGUAGGGCUUGCACUUCGAAAUUCGGCUCCUGGAGCUCUUUUACGUGCUUCUUGGAUAUUUCCGCCGCCUUGCACGUUGUUAUGAUUUUGACGAGUGUGAGGUCCCGUUCGCGAAAAAGGCGCUCUCUUAAUGCUGCAUCUCUGAUUCCUACGACGAUGCGGUCGCCAAUAAGUCGGUCUUUUUUCUCCCCAAAGUCUCAUUUUUCUGCUUGCCUCCGAAGGUCCGUUACAAACUCGUCGAAUGUCUGGUUUUCUUUUUGCUUCAUCGUGUUGAACACAGCAGACGCCUGUAUUACGUUUUUGUAUGGUCUGUAGAGGGCGUCGAACUGUUCCAGGAGGUACGUAACUUGAUCCGUCGGCUGCUCGACGUCGGUGGUUGGAGGUGGAGGGGGAAAUGUCUGGGCGACGCGGCGGCCGUGGGGCCCGAGAACAUGGAGAAGUAGGGCCCUACGCGUAGCCGUAGGCUUGGUGGCAUACUCACAAGCUUGCUCGUAGAUGUUGUACGCUUCUUUCCAGUCCUCCCAGGCUUGCUGCGGGCUGUCGCCUGGCUC